rnacentral:rRNA from 1 species
GAUGAACGCUGGCGGUCUGCUUAACACAUGCAAGUCGAACGAACUCUUCGGAGUGAGUGGCGGACGGGUGAGUAACGCGUGAGAAUCUGGCUGUGGGUCGGGGACAACCACUGGAAACGGUGGCUAAUACCGGAUGAGCCGAAAGGUAAAAGAUUUAUUGCCCACAGAUGAGCUCGCGUCUGAUUAGCUAGUUGGUAAGGUAAAAGCGUACCAAGGCGACGAUCAGUAGCUGGUCUGAGAGGAUGACCAGCCACACUGGGACUGGAACACGGCCCAGACUCCUACGGGAGGCAGCAGUGGGGAAUAUUGCGCAAUGGGGGAAACCCUGACGCAGCGACGCCAUGUGAGGGACGAAGGCUUUCGGGUCGUAAACCCCUUUUUGUCAAGGAAGAAGUUCUGACGGUACUUGACGAAUAAGCCUCGGCUAACUCCGUGCCAGCCGCCGCGGUAAU